CCUACGGGAGGCUGCAGUGAGGAAUAUUGGUCAAUGGACGCAAGUCUGAACCAGCCAAGUAGCGUGCAGGAUGACGGCCCUCCGGGUUGUAAACUGCUUUUAGUUGGGAAUAAAAGGGGGCUCGUGAGCCCCGUAUUGUAUGUACCAUCAGAAAAAGGAGCGGCUAAUUCGGUGCCAGCAGCCGCGGUAAUACGGAAGGUCCGGGCGUUAUGCGGAUGUAUUGGGUUUAAAGGGAGCGUAGGGCGGUUGUUAAGUCAGCUGUGAAAGUUCGGGGCUCAACCGUAGAAUUGCAGUUGAUACUGGAGGCCUUGAGUGCACACAGGGUUGCCGGAAUUCAUGGUGUAGCGGUGAAAUGCUUAGAUAUCAUGAAGAACUCCGAUCGCGAAGGCAAGUGACUGGGCUGCAACUGACACUGAGGCUCGAAAGUGUGGGUAUCAAACAGGAUUAGAUACCCGGGUAGUC
rnacentral:rRNA from 1 species